CGGGUGAGUAACACGUAUGCAACCUGCCUGCCACAGCCGGAUAAUCGGGAGAAAUUCCGUCUAAUACGGCAUAAUGCAUCGACGGGACAUCCUGUUGGUGCCAAAGGUUAAUUCCGGUGGCGGAUGGGCAUGCGUCGCAUUAGUUAGUUGGCGGUGUAACGGACCACCAAGACGACGAUGCGUAGGGAUUCUGAGAGGAAGGUCCCCCACACUGGUACUGAGACACGGACCAGACUCCUACGGAAGGCAGCAG
rnacentral:rRNA from 1 species